rnacentral:rRNA from 1 species
AACGAACGCUGGCGGCAGGCCUAACACAUGCAAGUCGAGCGAAGCCUUCGGGCUUAGCGGCGGACGGGUGAGUAACGCGUGGGAACGUGCCCUUUGGUACGGAAUAGCCCCGGGAAACUGGGAGUAAUACCGUAUGUGGUCGAGAGACGAAAGAUUUAUCGCCAAAGGAUCGGCCCGCGUUGGAUUAGGUAGUUGGUGGGGUAAUGGCCUACCAAGCCGACGAUCCAUAGCUGGUUUGAGAGGAUGAUCAGCCACACUGGGACUGAGACACGGCCCAGACUCCUACGGGAGGCAGCAGUGGGGAAUCUUAGACAAUGGGGGAAACCCUGAUCUAGCCAUGCCGCGUGAUCGAUGAAGGCCUUAGGGUUGUAAAGACCUUUCAGUGGGGAAGAUAAUGACUGUACCCACAGAAGAAGCCCCGGCUAACUUCGUGCCAGCCGCCGCCGUAAUAC